rnacentral:misc_RNA from 1 species
CAGAGAACUUGCCCCUCUGGGGUAAUCUCCAACCCUUUGUUUACAAUGCUACCAUUGUUGCUUUGGCAGGCCUGUCUCCGGACUACCGGCCCCGGCUGGUUCGUGCCUGCCAGAGGACCCCAAACUCUGUUAAACAUGCCGUCUGAGUAACACAUAAAUUAUUA